GAUGAAGAACGUAGCGAAAUGCGAUAAGUAAUGUGAAUUGCAGAAUUCAGUGAAUCAUCGAAUCUUUGAACGCACAUUGCGCCCUCUGGUAUUCCGGGGGGCAUGCCUGUUCGAGCGUCAUUAUAACCACUCAAGCUCUCGCUUGGUAUUGGAGUUCGCGAUCUCGCGGCUCCUAAAAUCAGUGGCGGUGCCUGUCGGCUCUACGCGUAGUAAUACUCCUCGCGAUUGAGUCCGGUAGGUUUACUUGCCAGCAACCCCCAAUUUUUGCAGGUUGACCUCGGAUCAGGUAGGGAUACCCGCUGAACUUAAGCAUAUCAAUAAGCGGAGGA
rnacentral:misc_RNA from 1 species